CCUUUGGUCCUGUUGGUGAACUAGAUUGAGGUCCUGUAGUGCCCGAGACAUUAUUUCCAUCACUUCUGACAGAAAGAGACAUGGGAAAAGCACUGCCUGGUUUUAGACCUUCUUUACCAAAAGGAAUUGGAGGUGGUGGAGCAGGUGGAGACUUUUUUGAUGAAGGAUUAGGGUUGCCAGAGGAAAGUGUUGCAGAGGGAGGUGGAGGCGGUGCUGGUGGUGCUAUAGUAGGACUAGCAACUUCCCUUGAAUGAUGAGGUGGUGGUGGAGGUGGUGGGGGCUUAAACGUAGCAGGUUGCUCCGCUUUUAGAGGAGGUGGCGGAGGAGAAAGUCCAUCUCUUACAUGUGGCUGUUCAUUCAUAGGAGAUGGAAUGGGAGAAGUAGGAGGAGGUCCAGCUUCAACAUGUAGUUCCUUCUUGGGAGGUGAUAGACCUCGUCCCUUUGGUCCUGUUGGUGAACUAGAUUGAGGUCCUGUAGUGCCCGAGACAUUAUUUCCAUCACUUCUGACAGAAAGAGACAUGGGAAAAGCACUGCCUGGUUUUAGACCUUCUUUACCAAAAGGAAUUGGAGGUGGUGGAGCAGGUGGAGACUUUUUUGAUGAAGGAUUAGGGUUGCCAGAGGAAAGUGUUGCAGAGGGAGGUGGAGGCGGUGCUGGUGGUGCUAUAGUAGGACUAGCAACUUCCCUUGAAUGAUGAGGUGGUGGUGGAGGUGGUGGGGGCUUAAACG
rnacentral:lncRNA from 1 species